GACGAACGCUGGCGGCGUGCUUAACACAUGCAAGUCGAACGGAAAGGCCCUGCUUUUGUGGGGUGCUCGAGUGGCGAACGGGUGAGUAACACGUGAGUAACCUGCCCUUGACUUUGGGAUAACUUCAGGAAACUGGGGCUAAUACCGGAUAGGAGCUCCUGCUGCAUGGUGGGGGUUGGAAAGUUUCGGCGGUUGGGGAUGGACUCGCGGCUUAUCAGCUUGUUGGUGGGGUAGUGGCUUACCAAGGCUUUGACGGGUAGCCGGCCUGAGAGGGUGACCGGACACAUUGGGACUGAGAUACGGCCCAGACUCCUACGGGAGGCAGGAGUGGGGAAGAUUGUACAAUGGGCGGAAGCCUGAUGCAGCAACGCCGCGUGCGGGAUGACGGCCUUCGGGUUGUAAACCGCUUUCGCCUGUGACGAAGCGUGAGUGACGGUAAUGGGUAAAGAAGCACCGGCUAACUACGUG
rnacentral:rRNA from 1 species